GGGUUGUGAGGUUAAGUGACUAAGCGUACACGGUGGAUGCCUAGGCAGUCAGAGGCGAUGAAGGACGUGCUAAUCUGCGAUAAGCGUCGGUGAGCUGAUAUGAAGCAUUAUUAGCCGGCGAUGUCCGAAUGGGGAAACCCAGUGCAAUCCGUUGCACUAUCGUUAAGUGAAUCCAUAGCUUAACGAGGCGAACCAGGGGAACUGAAACAUCUAAGUACCCUGAGGAAAAGAAAUCAACCGAGAUUCCCCCAGUAGCGGCGAGCGAACGGGGAAGAGCCCAGAACCUGAAUCAGUUUGUGCAUUAGUGGAAGCGUCUGGAAAGUCGCGCGAUACAGGGUGAUAGCCCCGUACACGAAGGUGCACAGCUGUGAGUUCGAUGAGUAGGGCGGGACACGUGUUAUCCUGUCUGAAUAUGGGGGGACCAUCCUCCAAGGCUAAAUACUCCUGACUGACCGAUAGUGAACCAGUACCGUGAGGGAAAGGCGAAAAGAACCCCGGCGAGGGGAGUGAAAUAGAACCUGAAACCGUGUACGUACAAGCAGUGGGAGCAUCCUUUUGGGUGUGACUGCGUACCUUUUGUAUAAUGGGUCAGCGACUUAUAUUUUGUAGCAAGGUUAACCGAAUAGGGGAGCCGUAGGGAAACCGAGUCUUAACUGGGCGUCUAGUUGCAAGGUAUAGACCCGAAACCCGGUGAUCUAGCCAUGGGCAGGUUGAAGGUUGGGUAACACUAACUGGAGGACCGAACCGACUAAUGUUGAAAAAUUAGCGGAUGACUUGUGGCUGGGGGUGAAAGGCCAAUCAAACCGGGAGAUAGCUGGUUCUCCCCGAAAGCUAUUUAGGUAGCGCCUCGUGAACUCAUCUUCGGGGGUAGAGCACUGUUUCGGCUAGGGGGUCAUCCCGACUUACCAACCCGAUGCAAACUACGAAUACCGAAGAAUGUUAUCACGGGAGACACACGGCGGGUGCUAACGUCCGUCGUGAAGAGGGAAACAACCCAGACCGCCAGCUAAGGUCCCAAAGUCAUGGUUAAGUGGGAAACGAUGUGGGAAGGCACAGACAGCCAGGAUGUUGGCUUAGAAGCAGCCAUCAUUUAAAGAAAGCGUAAUAGCUCACUGGUCGAGUCGGCCUGCGCGGAAGAUGUAACGGGGCUAAACCAUGCACCGAAGCUGCGGCAGCGACGCUUAGGCGUUGUUGGGUAGGGGAGCGUUCUGUAAGCCGUUGAAGGUGGCCUGUGAGGGCUGCUGGAGGUAUCAGAAGUGCGAAUGCUGACAUAAGUAACGAUAAAGCGGGUGAAAAGCCCGCUCGCCGGAAGACCAAGGGUUCCUGUCCAACGUUAAUCGGGGCAGGGUAAGUCGACCCCUAAGGCGAGGCCGAAAGGCGUAGUCGAUGGGAAACAGGUUAAUAUUCCUGUACUUGGUGUUAUUGCGAAGGGGGGACGGAGAAGGCUAGACCGGCCGGGCGACGGUUGUCCCGGUUUAAGCGUGUAGGUGUGAUGACCUGGCAAAUCCGGUUAUCUUUAACACUGAGGCGUGAUGACGAGGCACUACGGUGCUGAAGUGGUUAAUGCCCUGCUUCCAGGAAAAGCCUCUAAGCUCCAGAUAACACUGAAUCGUACCCCAAACCGACACAGGUGGUCAGGUAGAGAAUACCAAGGCGCUUGAGAGAACUCGGGUGAAGGAACUAGGCAAAAUGGUGCCGUAACUUCGGGAGAAGGCACGCUGGCAUGUAGGUGAAGUCCCUUGCGGAUGGAGCCGAAGCCAGUCGAAGAUACCAGCUGGCUGCAACUGUUUAAUAAAAACACAGCACUCUGCAAACACGAAAGUGGACGUAUAGGGUGUGACGCCUGCCCGGUGCUGGAAGGUUAAUUGAUGGGGUCAGCCGCAAGGCGAAGCUCUUGAUCGAAGCCCCAGUAAACGGCGGCCGUAACUAUAACGGUCCUAAGGUAGCGAAAUUCCUUGUCGGGUAAGUUCCGACCUGCACGAAUGGCGUAAUGAUGGCCAGGCUGUCUCCACCCGAGACUCAGUGAAAUUGAACUCGCUGUGAAGAUGCAGUGUACCCGCGGCAAGACGGAAAGACCCCGUGAACCUUUACUAUAGCUUGACACUGAACAUUGAACCUUGAUGUGUAGGAUAGGUGGGAGGCUUUGAAGUGUGGACGCCAGUCUGCAUGGAGCCGACCUUGAAAUACCACCCUUUAAUGUUUGAUGUUCUAACCUGGUCCCGUGAUCCGGGAUAGGGACAGUGUCUGGUGGGUAGUUUGACUGGGGCGGUCUCCUCCCAAAGAGUAACGGAGGAGCACGAAGGUUAGCUAAUCCUGGUCGGACAUCAGGAGGUUAGUGCAAAGGCAUAAGCUAGCUUGACUGCGAGAGUGACGGCUCGAGCAGGUGCGAAAGCAGGUCUUAGUGAUCCGGUGGUUCUGAAUGGAAGGGCCAUCGCUCAACGGAUAAAAGGUACUCCGGGGAUAACAGGCUGAUACCGCCCAAGAGUUCAUAUCGACGGCGGUGUUUGGCACCUCGAUGUCGGCUCAUCACAUCCUGGGGCUGAAGUAGGUCCCAAGGGUAUGGCUGUUCGCCAUUUAAAGUGGUACGCGAGCUGGGUUUAGAACGUCGUGAGACAGUUCGGUCCCUAUCUGCCGUGGGCGUUGGAAGAUUGAGAGGGGCUGCUCCUAGUACGAGAGGACCGGAGUGGACGCACCGCUGGUGUUCGGGUUGUGAUGCCAAUUGCAUUGCCCGGUAGCUACGUGCGGAAAAGAUAAGCGCUGAAAGCAUCUAAGCGCGAAACUUGCCUCGAGAUGAGUCUUCCCUUGGACCUUGAGUCCACUGAAGGAACGUUUAAGACUAAGACGUUGAUAGGCUGGGUGUGUAAGCGUAGCGAUACGUUGAGCUAACCAGUACUAAUGAUCCGAGAGGCUUAACCUUACAACACCGAAGGUGUUUUAG
rnacentral:rRNA from 1 species